UGUGAACUCGAAGAGUAGGGCGGGACACGUGGUAUCCUGUCUGAAUAUGGGGGGACCAUCCUCCAAGGCUAAAUACUCCUGACUGACCGAUAGUGAACCAGUACCGUGAGGGAAAGGCGAAAAGAACCCCGGCGAGGGGAGUGAAAAAGAACCUGAAACCGUGUACGUACAAGCAGUGGGAGCACCUUCGGGUGUGACUGCGUACCUUUUGUAUAAUGGGUCAGCGACUUAUAUUCUGUAGCAAGGUUAACCGUAUAGGGGAGCCGCAGGGAAACCGAGUCUUAACUGGGCGUUAAGUUGCAGGGUAUAGACCCGAAACCCGGUGAUCUAGCCAUGGGCAGGUUGAAGGUUGGGUAACACUAACUGGAGGACCGAACCGACUAAUGUUGAAAAAUUAGCGGAUGACUUGUGGCUGGGGGUGAAAGGCCAAUCAAACCGGGAGAUAGCUGGUUCUCCCCGAAAGCUAUUUAGGUAGCGCCUCGUGAACUCAUCUUCGGGGGUAGAGCACUGUUUCGGCUAGGGGGUCAUCCCGACUUACCAACCCGAUGCAAACUACGAAUACCGAAGAAUGUUAUCACGGGAGACACACGGCGGGUGCUAACGUCCGUCGUGAAGAGGGAAACAACCCAGACCGCCAGCUAAGGUCCCAAAGUCAUGGUUAAGUGGGAAACGAUGUGGGAAGGCACAGACAGCCAGGAUGUUGGCUUAGAAGCAGCCAUCAUUUAAAGAAAGCGUAAUAGCUCACUGGUCGAGUCGGCCUGCGCGGAAGAUGUAACGGGGCUAAACCAUGCACCGAAGCUGCGGCAGCGACACUAUGUGUUGUUGGGUAGGGGAGCGUUCUGUAAGCCUGCGAAGGUGUGCUGUGAGGCAUGCUGGAGGUAUCAGAAGUGCGAAUGCUGACAUAAGUAACGAUAAAGCGGGUGAAAAGCCCGCUCGCCGGAAGACCAAGGGUUCCUGUCCAACGUUAAUCGGGGCAGGGUGAGUCGACCCCUAAGGCGAGGCCGAAAGGCGUAGUCGAUGGGAAACAGGUUAAUAUUCCUGUACUUGGUGUUACUGCGAAGGGGGGACGGAGAAGGCUAUGUUAGCCGGGCGACGGUUGUCCCGGUUUAAGCAUGUAGGCUGGUUAUCCAGGCAAAUCCGGAUAAUCAAGGCUGAGGUGUGAUGACGAGGCACUACGGUGCUGAAGUAACAAAUGCCCUGCUUCCAGGAAAAGCCUCUAAGCAUCAGGUAACAUCAAAUCGUACCCCAAACCGACACAGGUGGUCAGGUAGAGAAUACCAAGGCGCUUGAGAGAACUCGGGUGAAGGAACUA
rnacentral:rRNA from 1 species